rnacentral:sRNA from 1 species
GACUUGAUGGGGGCUGGAGGAUUGUUUUUAGGAGGGCUCACUCUUUCCCCUCUUUCACUACUGCACUUGACUGGUCUUAA